GAAACGACGGUAUAGCAGACGCUGUAAGACGGAGAGGGGGAGCGUUGUCCGGAUAUAGUGGGCGGAAAGAGCUCGUAGGCGGUUAGCUAAGUCAGAUGUGAAAACGGAGGGCCCAAUCCGGAGCCUGCAUUUGAGACUGGUUUGAAGUGAGUCAAGUAGGGGAGUGUGGAAUUCCCAGUGUAGCGGUGAAAUGCGCAGAUAUUGGGAGGAACACCAGCAGCGAAGGCGGCACUCUGGGCUUGUACUGACGCUGAGGAGCGAAAGCAGGGGUAGCAAACAGGAUUAGAUACCCCAGUAGUC
rnacentral:rRNA from 1 species